rnacentral:lncRNA from 1 species
AUAUCUGUACCAAGAGAACAGUGUCCAUCAGGACCUCCUCUCCACCUGGUGGCGCUAGAUUCAGGAAUGAAGGUGAUCCUGAUGGACUUGGAAACGCCUGUGAAAUCUCCAAGGCCAAGUUGUUCUCUCCCACCUAUUUAGACAGACAAACCUGGCUCCUUUGGAGUCCGCAGUGUGACUGAGCUUGCCUUUCAUUAGCUCCGCUCUCCCUGCCACACCAGCACACGGAACACCUACACUUGAUGUUCUCAUCUGAGAAGUAAGACCCAGGCUGGGGGAGAUGCACCCGCUCAGAGUCACCCUGUUCCUCCCCUCUGUGCCUGGUCACCUGUGUACCCUUCAAGCAGGAAAUUAGUGCUAUCAAGAGGCCAACAGUCCUCCCUAGAGUCCAACUGCUUGCCUGAUACCACAGAGCAGCUCAGCAACAACAUACAGCCCCGUUUCCUUAAGAAGUUGGUCCUUGAAACAAGGGAAACUGACUUUUUUUUUUUUAAGACAUGGUCUCAUAUACCCUAGGUUAGCUUCAGACUUGUUUUGUAGCUGAGGAUGACUUGAAUUUCUGAUCCUCCAAAUUACAUUUUCAGAGUGCUGUUGGGAUUUAAGAUACAUGCCAGCAUCCCUAGGUUAUGUGGUGCUGGAGAAAUAAUCCAGGCUUCACAUGUUAGCCAAGUGUGUCCUAACUUCUACAUUUCCAGUCCUGAAAUGGUCUCACUCUAGUGUUUGUUAGUUUUGUUUUAGGUGGAUCUGUUGUUGUUGUUGCUGUUGUUUGUGGGUGUGUUGCUAGAAUUCAUGUAGCCCAGUCUGGCCUUGACAUUGCUUUGUAGCCAAAGCUGGCUGGCUUUGAUCAUGUGUCUACCUCCCAAGUGCUGGAUUAUAAGCAUGAGCCUACACCUGGGUAGAAGGUAGCAGCUCCCUUGCAUCCCCAGAAGGCAUGCACAUGCCCUCUCAUCUUGGACUGCAAGGUGCUUUAGUCCUGGGAAAUUCAGAUACUAAACCAGAAAGGCCCAAUUUAGCUAUCAGCUGCUCUGCUUACAUUUAAUCCCACAGACGGGGACAUGGCUAAAGGGUGUUUCUAAGAGACAAACUCCGGGGAUGAUCAAUUGAGAACAAUUUACAAGAUCCUUUCAAAUUUGAAGCUCCAUAUUUGUGACACCCAUGAACCACCUGUGUGUCCCCUCCACUGCCUAGGGCCCUUCCUCAUAGCCAUUCUAUCUGUUACUGUCCAAUAGCUGAAGUCAUUUCUCUAGUCUAAAAAUAGCAGCACCCUAACUCAGUGGAUGAACCACAAAAGCUCUUGUUUUCCCAUUACUUUAGGAUAAACCAGAGACUUUGCAUGUCCACGGCUUGGGCCAGGCUCCCUUAAGACUGUUUGGCUGGGAUCUUAUCCUUGUAACCAUUUCCUCCCUCCCUCCCUCCCUCCCUCAAAUCCUUGAUUCCUAGCCUUACCCAUUCCUUCUAGUAUCAGCACAGUUCUAGUCAAAGAUCUAGUGGUCUACUCACCUAGUUAUCUACAUCUUGGAGCUAGGGAGAUAGAUGGCCCAGCUGGUAAAGUGCUUACUGCUCAGACAUGAGGACCUAAAUUCAACCCCUAGUAGUGCAUAAAGAGCUGGGCACCACCAUGCCCCAGUGCUAGGGAUGCAGAGACAUGCAAAUGGGGUUUCCUGGCCAGCCAGCAAAGGCUUUUCAGUAAGCCCCAAGUUCCAAAUGAAAAACCCUGUCUCAAAAGUGAGGUGGAGAGCCAAAUGUGGUGGAGCUCUCCUUUAAUCCCAGCACUCAGGAGGCAGAUCUCUGUGAGUUCAAGGCUAGCCUGAUCUACACAGUGAAUUCCAGGACAUCCAGGGAUGGUACAUAGAGAAACCCUGUCUUGAAAAACAAAAUAAUAACAACAAUAAACUGCAUUGUCAUUGGCUAGCCUGCCAGUCCAUGGGCCAGCACUUCAGUAGCUAACGUGUCAGGCCAAGGGGUCAUUGUUAAUGGCUAGCUUGUCAGUCCAAGCCCACGUCUUUGAAACUCAUUUCUACUUUACAGCUCCUGGCUGGUGACAUGUGGAUGACACUCUAUAACUAUCAGAUGGUCCCACAAAUACCAACAUUGCUGCUCCAUCUGAAUCAAAUCCUCCAUACCCACAAGGGUUGUUUGUCCUCUUUUCUGCCUGAUGUCACAGCUGGGAUACCUUGAUGUCACAAAGUGGAAGAUGAAGAGGCAUAGUCUAACAUGUGGAAGAAAAUGUGAUGCUGGGGUCCAGUUUUUCUUGAGUGGUUGUGCAUUUCUAUCUGCUUUUCUUAGCUCUGUUCAUUUCCCUGCUCCAGUAUUCACUUGCUGUUGCCAGGGACCCAUGAGCCUCGGAGUUGAAGUCAAGAUAGCUCCCUGGCUCUGGAUUUUGCAGUAAUGAAUGCACCCACCAAGGUAAUAAUAAACUCGCAGUCUCAUUACUUGCCUGCUCACUAAUUCCCUUCGUGUUUCUCUGCCCCUUUCCUCAAAUGGAUUCCUGAGUUCUUCCAGAUUGCUGGUUGCUAAGCUAUCAAGUUCCAGGUUCUGAAACCUGGCUGCUCAUUGGUGGAGAGUUCCUGGGCUGUUCCAAUCAGGAGGCGGCAGAGAAAGGCAUUCAUUCACUCCAGGAGUUGGGAUUUUCUAGCAGUUGAUGUCAAGCGAAGGUCUUUGACUAGCACUACAGGAUUUGCUGUACUCUUAAGCUGACUGAGGAGGGUCACAGGUUCUAGAAUGUUCCCCCAGGAAGAUGAGGGGCCAUAGAUGGACAAUGUGACUUCCCACCCCGGGGCAGCAGAGAUACCCUCAAGAGAUCCCAGGAUUAAACUGCAAUGUCCACCUCACAGCUUGGUUAGUGAUGACAGCAGGAAGUUCAGGAAACUGAAUGACACUAAGCUUGGGGUGCUUGCAAUGAGGGCCUUAUUUGCAAAGGAGCUUGAACUCCUAAGCAUCCCCUAGUCCUUGAGCAGCUGGGACAAUAUAGGCUGCCACAGGUGGCUAUAAAGGACUAUAAAAUAUAUGAGUGGAAGAGCACUUACCUCAGCUCAGCUUCACCAGGAACGUCGUCUCCUCCCAUUCAGAAGGUGCCCUGGACUUGUGGAGACCAGGAGGGAUGGCUGUAGACUGUAGCUUCCUUCCUUCAGAAAGAAGGAAGCCAUGUGACCCAGACCUGGUUCUGAGACAGUCACAUGGCUAAGAUGAACCGAUUAGAAUUUUCUCUGCUACUUUUCUGCCAGAACUAUAGGAAAAGACCUCAUACACUGCACUGCUUGUGAACACAUGUGGAAGAUGUUUGAAAAAAUAGAAAUUCUCAAAAGAUACAGAGCCCCCGAGCUCCAGCUUAGGUUAAACCAGAUCCAUGUCCCACAUCUAAUAGAAAACACCAAGCUUGGUGUGUGCAUAUGCAUGUGUGUGUGUGUGUCUAAGAAGCAGGAACAUAUAUAGAUUCACUGCAUGGUACCCACCUAUAUGUCAGGUGAUUUGCAUACAGUCCCAUAUAGGGCCAUUAAGAUCAAUCUAGUACUCUAGUAUGUUACAGUAUUGCAGGCUGGGAACUGAGACUCCAAGGGGUACAGGUGCCUUGCCCAGAGGACAUUGUCUCGGUAUGCUCAAGGAUUCCAGUCUGUGCUAUCUAAAGCUUAACCAAUUCAACUCGUCCGAAAUGGUCUCUUCCAAACUGAUAGCCCUCAAGCCUGCCAUCUUUCCGUCUAGCAGACUCACUAGAAGCCAGGUCCCGUCAGAUCUCUUCUUGCCCCUCUGUACCCCCAUAUCUAAGCCUCACUGAGCUGGUCCAUCACCAUCCCUCUGUCCACCAUUUCUGUGCAGUUCUGUGGAAGAGUGCUUUCUCCUGCCCUCUCCCCAUGAUGCCUUGGCUGCUGUAAUUUCUCUCUUGGCCUUCUAGAACUAUCUCCCUCUUGUUUGCCCAUCCCUCAUGUCUAUACCUUCCUCCUCUCCAGGCUAUCUCUCCACGGCACCCACAAGGAUUGUCUCAAAUGCCAACCUGGGUGGUGGUGAUGUCAUAAUGUAAUGUCAUACGAGGCAUUCCCACCUUUGGGAACCUCCUGAGGAUUGGUCAGUCCCGGCUAGGGACACAGCUCUUAGACUUUGAGCUAGACAACCAGGAGGACAGGAGGACCUAGUAUCCUGCCUCCAUCAGCCCAUCAUUUAUGCAAAUGCUACUUAGUUGCCGUCUAGAUGCAGGAUGCUGUCUGCCCUGUUAAAUGCUGUGUGAACCCAGAUGGAAGCUGAGCAGACAUCACACUCGUGAGCAGCUCCCCUUCCUGUGAGCAUCUCCCCUUCCUGUGAGCAUCUCCCCUUCCUGUGAGCAUCUCACCUUCCAGAGUUAGGAGCUAAAUGAAAAUUUCUUUUUGAGUUACCUGACCUUGAGUACUUUGUUAUAACAGAAACCAGACAGAGGCAGGAUAAUGGUGUGAGUGUUGGCAGGCAGGGUACUCACCUGCAGAUGGAGGGAAGACAUGGAGGACAAGGCCUGGAGAAACUGUUAUACGUGGUCCAGGGUCCUAGAUAAGCUGGUGUGCUCUAAAAGCAGAGUUUAUGGGAACCAAGCCAG